rnacentral:rRNA from 1 species
GGUGAGUAACACGUGAGCAACCUGCCCCUGACUCUGGGAUAAGCCCGGGAAACUGGGUCUAAUACCGGAUACGACCGCCUCCGGCAUCGGGUGGUGGUGGAAAGUUUUUCGGUUGGGGAUGGGCUCGCGGCCUAUCAGCUUGUUGGUGGGGUAGUGGCCUACCAAGGCGACGACGGGUAGCCGGCCUGAGAGGGCGACCGGCCACACUGGGACUGAGACACGGCCCAGACUCCUACGGGAGGCAGCAGUGGGGAAUAUUGCGCAAUGGGCGGAAGCCUGACGCACCGACGCCGCGUGGGGGAUGACGGCCUUCGGGUUGUAAACCUCUUUCAGCAGGGACGAAGUUGACGUGUACCUGCAGAAGAAGCGCCGGCUAACUACGUGCCAGCAGCCGCGGUAAUACGUAGGGCGCAAGCGUUGUCCGGAAUUAUUGGGCGUAAAGAGCUCAUAUGUGGCUGGUCGCGUCUGCCGUGAAAGCCCGCAGCUUAACUGCGGGUCUGCGGUGGAUACGGGCCGGCUAGAGGUAGGUAGGGGCAAGUGGAAUUCCUGGUGUAACGGUGAAAUGCGCAGAUAUCAAGAGGAACACCGGUGGCAAAGGCGGCUUGCUGGGCCUUACCUGACGCUGAGGAGCGAAAGCGUGGGGAGCGAACAGGAUUAGAUACCCUGGUAGUCCACGCUGUAAACGUUGGGCGCUAGGUGUGGGGGUCUUCCACGAUCUCCGUGCCGGAGCUAACGCAUUAAGCGCCCCGCCU